ensembl:lncRNA
UAUAUCAGGUGAGGGGAAGCUUGAUUGCUGAUCAGGAACAGGUGGGGCGAAUGAUGAACUCAGGGGUAGAUCUGCGAAAAGUGACAGGAGGGAGACAAAAACACCACAAAACAGAACCAAACAAGACAUGCCUACAAACAUACAGCAUGCAUAAACCCCAGACGUAACAGUGUAUGACUGGUAUUGUAUAGAGAAUCAAAACAAGUUUCCUCUGCCCAAACUGCGGGCCUAACCAUUCGGCCAACCAAGCAAACGAUUCACCCCAGUUCCGUGCCCCCACAACCGUCCUGCACAAACCAGGAAUUUCAAAGAAACUGUUAGCAAUCAGUAUGCAGAAAGACUGAGAAACUCAAGAAGUGAAUGAAGAGCAUCAACAACCACAUGCUUAACCUCCGGGCAAGAGAGAAUUGCAAAGUGGACCUUGAUCCUGAACCAUGUUUGAGAUGUCCAUAUACAUGAGGAUCCUCUCUACCCCAAGUGCGAGCAUUCGAUCCGCAAGACAAAUGACC